AUGCACCAGAUACGAGCCUGACAGUCCGCUUUGUCCCAGAUGUGUUGAGCAUUGGGCUUUUCUAUGGCUGCAUGGCUUCAAAUGGUGCAAGAGCAGCAUCAGCCCCGAGAUUUAAGCUUUUCAGUGGGGAGCAACACAGUAAAGUUAUGGCUCUGGGGCACAGAG
rnacentral:scRNA from 1 species